CUCAAGGAGCAUGAUGACCUUCCUCUUCUAAUGUCAUUGCCAGGUGGGGACUCUUGAGGAAAGGUGCUAUUACAAACACAAGCGCAGGAUGAUGCCCUCUAAAGAAAUUCUAAAUUUGCAAAACUGGUAAAAUAGAGAUGAUUGGAUACUUUACAAGGACAGAGAUUUUUUUAAAAAACAGUGCUUCCCAGAUGAAACAGUUGUUGACUAAAGAUUACUUGAGGCUGAAGGGGGGUUAGAGGAAUAAUGUAAGGAACAAUUGAAAAACCAUGUAACAGGGUGAUGAGUAUAACACAGCUCUGCAAAUCACAAUGUGAUUUCAAGAGUGUUCAUGUCGCACAGAGGAAGUGAUAUCAAUUCCAAACUCCAACUUUCCUGUCUGGCCAAAGCUUUAUCUCACUCAGAUAACAUCUGCUGUGGUGAAUGGCCAGCACCUGGCUGAUACCCAACAUUAGCCAGAUAUCAUUGUAAAAGAACAGAAAACAACCAGAAGUAUGUGAGCACCUUUGCCAAUUAAAUUGUUCUCCUGUAGUUCUUAAGGGCACAGAGUGGGACUGAGUAGCUGAAUUAAAAUUCCAGCUCUGCCUUUUCCUUGCUGUGUGCCCUUGGGCAAGUCACCUACCUUUUCUGUCUGUACCUCAGCUCCUCAGCUCUAAUAAUAAUCACAGGGGGUAUAAUAAUAGAGGCUUUCUCAUAGAGUUGUUACAGAGAACAAAUAAGUUCAUAGUUGUGAAUUGCUAAACAGUGCCUGGCAUGAAGCAAGUGCCUAUAAAAUGCAUAAAAUAGUGAGUAUUAGUUUGCUAGAGCUGCCAUAACAAAGUACUGCAACUGGGUGGCUUAAACAGCAGAAAUGUGUUGUCUCAUGGUUCUGAAAGCUAGAAGUCCAAAAUCCAGGUUUCAGCAGGAUCAGUUCCCUCUGAGGGCCAUGAGGAAACAAACUCUGUUCCAGGCCUUUCUCCUUGGUCCAUGGGAGACUCAGUUGAGCCCAGAGUGCCAGAGGUCCUGAGCACCAAAGUCAGUUCUGUGUCCCAUAAAUGCUGGGCUUCUCACUUGGGUCAGAACUCCCAGAGCUCUGGAAAGCAGUGGCUUUCCUAGGCACAAUACCCAGCACUGGCUCAUCCUUGACGUUGGGGAUAUCACGCACACCACAUGCAGCAGUAGCAAGAACCAUCCUCCCUUAUUCCAUCAGCUCCCUCCGGCCCUCGGGCCCCUUCCUCGGCCUUGCCCCUUUGCCUCUUCACAUUGCCUUCCCUCUAAGUGUAUAUCUAUGUCCAUAUCCCCUCUUUUGAUUAGGAUACCAGUGGUACUGGAGUAGGGCCCACCCUAAUGAACUUGUUUUAACUCGCUUACCUCUGUAAAGACCCAAUUUCCAAAUGAGGUCACAUUCUGGAGCACCUGGGAUCAGGACUCAGGUGUAUAAAUUUGGGGGAACACAAUUCAAUCCGUAGCAUAGCGUUUCUUAAGUAAAUGACCCCAGGAGAAGUCUCCCCCAGGAGAAGUCUUCCCCCAGGAGAAGGCUUUGCUAUGGAUUGGUUUCCCCUGAGUUUAAGCCAUUAUUCCCCAGGGCUAGUGUAGGGUGCCGAUAGUUGAUUAUUAAACAUGCAAGUUGCAAAGGUUAUCUGCCCAGUUUUGAUGUUUAAACCCUAAUUUCACCAGCUCUGAGAACCUGAGGGGAAGAGUUCACACGCAGGAGGUCCCCAGAAGGGAGGAGUGCAAUGGCUAAGUAGUCCACACUCCCCACCAGACCCCCAUUUGGGUCAUUAUACACAACUGUCACUUGUCAGUAGUGUGAUGGAAUGUACAGUCAUGGUAUUGGUUUUCAAUCUGCCCAGUCCCUGGGAAUAUCCAACAUGGGGAGUAAGAAUUGGAUUGCUCAUGUGUUCCCUCGACAAGUAUUUACUGCCCCCAAACUCCACCCCAGACCUGACGCUGGGCACACAGCAGUGAAUGGAGCAGACACAGCUCUUGCCUUCAUGGAUCAAACAGGCCAGCUGGUGAAGAGCAUGACAGGACAUAUUUUAUCUGCCCCACACCGGGUUUUCGGUGAAUUUGAAUCAUUUGUCAACAUUGGGAGAUUGCGAAACCAAAAUUAGAAUUUACAGCUUCUCUUAAGAAACAGCUGGAGGAUCUCCCAUCCCUGGCCCUGUUUUGCUGUGUGACAGCAGUCAGGAGGAUUGCCUGUUCUCAGUGGGGCUUGUACUGGUCUCUAGUGUGCCAUGGUUGCCACCACUUCCUAUGUAGUUGCACAAGAACAGCUUCAUAUUUUUAUGUUAAGCAUUUGAAUUUUUAAACCCCUGUCUAGUAGAUGAUCCAUAUAACAUCAAACAUGGGGAAGUGAUUCUUUACACAGAGAAGUGGCAACUGCAGCAUAUCUGUUAAUUAUUAUGAAAGAAAGUCCGGCUUGGAGUUAGCAAUUGAUUAACACUGCCACGUUAUUAAAGUCCUCUUGAAGCGCACAAAGCCUUACUGCAUGUCCGUAUUUCCCCAGCUGAGCUAUUCCCAGAAGGGAGAUAUCAUAUCCUGUUGGAUACAGUUGGGCAAACAAUGUCCCACCCCAUGUCCUAGAGGUCAGUUUUAUUUCCAGGGAAAGCUGGUCGGGGGUGGGGUUAGGCACAGACCAAAGGAAGGAAAUUCUGGAUAACUGGUUCUAGCUCUGGGCUCCUUUUCCAGGCCAAAGGAAGGUACUGUGGGAGGCUGAGCUGUUCCAGAGAUUGUUCUGGUGUCAGACAGCCUGGUUCAGUUGAGGACAAUCUAGUCAGCAGCAUGAGCGCCACAACAGUGAGGUCAGUUUCUGUACCCACCCAGCUAAGGAGUGGUUACUGAAAGACCACACAUUGACCUCUUACAGCUACUCAAGACCUAUUCUCUGCCAAUAUGGCAUUCCCCUGUUGAGAAAGAGAGGUGAGAAGGUGGAUAAUGCUAACACCAUUGCUUCAGUGGAGGGCAGAUUUUCUUUGCACCUCUGGACGAAAUCAGGGUAGCAAAUAUUCAUAGAAAGCCAAGCACAGUGUCUGGCACAUCGUAGGUGCUCCAAAGAUGUUUUAUGAGUUAAUUUAUUCAUGAAAAGCUCGCUGUCUUUUCCUUUACAAUACAGACCUCCCUACUAAGCUCUAGGUUUGUUUCUCAGGCCAUCUGCUAAGUCUCCCACCUGAAUAUUCCAAGGCCUUUCACCCCAAAUUGUAAUAAACUUAAAUAAACCUACAAUUUAAUAAACUCAUUCCCUUUAAAGAGAAUAAAGGGGGAAAAAACUGCUUCAACUUUCUGGUUCCACUUGAUUGCUCGAACCUCCAUCGACCCAGUCACCUAAGUUAGUAAUUAGAAAAUAAUCCUUGUCUACAUUUCCUUUCCUUCACUCUCCUGUGUCCAGUAUGUGUCCACACCUGGUCAUGCCUCUCAGACACUACCUGAAGUCUUCCCUUCCUCAAUGCCGUGACUUCUCAGUGUCUGUGACAACAGGCCUGGCAGCCAUUGGAGUGAAAGUGUGAGUGGGGGACGGGCAGGUUGAUCGCGAGUUCAGUAGGAAGGAACAGAGCCGUGUGGGCUGCUGUACAAUGUGAUUCCAGGCUGAGUGGACAGGAAGAGGCUGUAGCACUGCUCCACAGAACCCUGAUUAGGGUGCAUCCAAAGCAUUGUGUUCAGAGCGGACAGUGAUCAAGUGGAGCAUGCCCAGGAAAGAGUGGCCAGGAUGGUAGAAGGACUCGAACAUGGCAGGCACAGGGAGGGCAUUGAAGGAGCAGUAGGGAGAUGCCCGAUCAGCCCUCUUGUUGGUUUUGUGUUUGCCUGAGAGUCCAGCAGCAUCGUGACAAUUUCACACGAUGCAUUUGGACUGAGUCCUGCAACCCCGAAGUCUCUAGCCUCCCUCAUAAGUGUAUCACCAGGCAGACAAGGGGUCCAGACAGGCUCCACUUGGCCGCCCUGUUGCUCCCAGUGCUGUGGUUACUGCUGCGUGCUCCUGCAACCGCCCCACUCCCUCUCCUGGCAGAAUUCCACACGCUACUGCCUGUAUCAUUUCCAAAGCUUCUUCCUCGCAUCUGUUUAAUUUUGUACAAAGCACAGGUCUUUCUUCAAGCGCUGUUAUCUCUUGCCCUCACCAGCACCAGCAGCACCAAUGAAACAACCGCGUUGCAAUAAUCAAAUGACGCAGUUGAUCUAUUUUAAGCACCUGAAGCACCCUCCACCGAGUGCCAGUCUUCCCCCAGCAGGCUACUCGCAGCAUGCAGGAGCAGGGGCCGCCAGAGGCCCGUGUCUACGUUUUGAAAUCUGGGGAAACAGCCCAGGGAUCCAGACCCUGCCAGUCCAAGGACGAUCUAAGGCAACCAUAAAAAUAGAUAAUUUCACAGUCAGCGUGUGCCGUUCUGGAAGGAGAAUUGCCUGUGAUGCCAGCAUUAUAUGGUACAAGAACCUCAAGUGGCCAUAAAUCCCUCUUUCAAAGGCAGAGACAGAGCCUGGCCCAUUACGUGUAGGGAGAAGGGACAUGGGAGGGAGCAUUUUAGGAACAAAGAGAAGCUCAACCCACAUCCCGGAUGCCUUAGCCUCAGAUCAAUUUUUUCUCCUCCUGCUAAUCAGGAGACAUUCUUUUCCAGCUAUAACCUGUCUGAGUGUAAAUGUUUGACAUGUUUUUUUUAAACGCUUCCAACAAUCCUACCUAGGUAUCGCCCGCUUUCGUAGCUAAGGAAGGCCCCUGUGUUAUGUUGUGUUGCACCAUCCUUCGAAGAACCUUCCACAGUCAGUAACUGUUUCACCCAAUAGCUUGUUUUAUUCAUUUCUGUCUGUUAUCCCUGUUUGAUAAUGAGCCACAUAAUGACUCUGUGACACGCCUGUCGUUUUGUUCGUUGCUGAGUCCUCCAAACACAUCACAGCGCUUGGCACAGUGAUGAUUGCUAAUAAGAGUUUAUGUUUGUUGAGCAUUUACUGUGUAUCCAAUGCCCUGCUAAUCUUUUCACAGAUAUAAACCCACUUAACCCUCAUGAAAGUCCUAGGGGGUAGACACUAAUAUUAACUUCAUUUUACAAAAGAAGAAACGGAGGCUCAGAGAAGAGGUCAUUGGCCCCAAAUCUCACAUUUAAUAGGUACUGAAGCCUUGAAUGAAUAUAUGACUAGAUGAAUUUAAUGAGGAAUAUUCAUAUCCCCAUUUUGCAUAAAAGGGAAAUGAGAUUCAAAGGUGAAGUCACCUGGUCCUGGUCCCAUGAGCUGGGAAGUGGUGGGGCAGGUGACUGCAACCGUGUGGAUCUGACUCUGAGGCCCCCUUUCACCCCGUCCUGCUUCCUCCUUUUCACUGUCUUUCCCCACUUGACUGUGAUUUGAGGCGGCUGUUGGAUGUCCCGGCACUGCUCUCCCACUCACUGGUGCGAUGACACAAAUCCCCGCCCCAUGUAUGGCAAUGUGCCAGGCACUGUAGGAUGGGAGAUGCCCAGGACAGGGGGCAUGACCCCAGACUACCUCCUUCCAGUGUCCCCGAGGGACAGAGGGAACCAUCAUGGGUGUCGUGAGGGGAGAGUGAAGAGGAAGACAGGCCAAAUGCCUUUGGGGAGCCUGGGGGGUGCUGCAUGGAAAAGACCUUGGGAAGUGAAUAAAAUCGUGGUAGGUGGAGUAGAAGGGCAGGAAGGGGCGUUCCAGAUGGGUUUACUCGCUUGUUCUCCCAGCGAGCAUUCCACAACCCCUUGUUGCACAACUUGUAUAUCCUGGGCUCUUGGCUUGGGUGGAAGGUGAAAUAAACAGACACAGAGUGUUUGGGGAAAUGUCGGGAAGUCCAGCUUGCUGACACUCUGCGGGGUAUGAGUAGGUGGAGCGUGAGGAAGUAAGGCUGGGGAGUUGGGGAGGAUCAGAUCGUUGAGAGUUUUAAAUGCCAGGCUAGAGAGUGUUUGUUACAGUCUAUGGCCAAUGAGGAGCCGUGAGAGGUUUUGAGCUGAGCAGUGACCUCACCAGAGCUGUGCAUUAUUUAGGACCAUCUCCCCGGCAACGCAUACCUGAUGGAUGAGAGAGCCCAGAGGCAGGGAGAGGCAGGCUAAGUGCAGUGGUGCAGGUGUGAGUGGAAGAGGGAAGGCGUGGCCUGCGGAGAGGAUGGCAGUGGUUCCGUAGCCCACUGUGCAUUGAUGUCUGUACUGCCGCGCAUGCCCCCAGGUGGGCCGGUUAUCUGAUUCUGAUUUCCGGGACUGUGCGAACUGAUACUUUGAAAACUAGGUUGCUGACCAAAUCGAGACGCCUACAUAGUGUGUUUGAUAAGCCCGAGAGCUGUGGAGUCAGGCUGCCUGGGUUCAAAUUCCAGCUCGGCCACGCACUAGCUAUGCAGCCUCCAGAGACUCGCUGUACCCCCAGAGCUUCAGUUUCCUCUCAAGGGGGUAUUAUUGGGGGGCCCUGAGUGAGGGGCUGGACAUAAAAUGCUCAGCUCAAUACUUGGCACAUAGAAAACAGUCACUUCUUGAUCAUUCCAUUGGGAGAGGGGAAUAGAGGUAUGUAUUAAGAAGUACUUAUUAUAUAUCAGACUAUAUUCUAAACUCCCCAUGAAUUGUCUCUUUUGGUCCUAGGCGUAAGUGAGAGAUGAAAAUAAUGUCAUAGAGGACAUUUUUAAUUGAAGUAGGAAGCAUGUUAUACUAGACCAGAGCUGACAUGCUUUUUCAGGAAAGGGCCUGGUAGGAAGUAUUUUGAACUUUGUAGGCCGUACAGUCUCUGUAGAAUGAAAGCAGCCCUAGACGGUGUGUCCUCAAAUGGAGGAAGCUGCAAUCUUAACAGAAUUUACUUACAAAAAUGAAGAUGGGGAAUGAUUUGGCCCAUGAGCCCAAAUUUGCUGAGCCGCAUGCUAGAUGAUGUCUAUGAUCUCUUGCAACUUUGACAUUCCAGUCCAAAAUGAUGACACGGAAAUGCCUAAUUCUUAUUUAGCUCAUCUUUGUAACUACAAGGGGAGUCUAUGUCAAAUACAAUAGAGAAGGCGCACUGGAAAUGCAGGCACAGAAAGGCUGUACAGAGCCGUCUCUGUUUCUGUGUCUGCUGUCCUCAUGUUCAGCACGCCCAUAAUUCACACUCUAGUGUUACACGACCCUUCUCAAGCAGUCACUAAAUGCCAGGCGAUGCAGGCUGCCCUGGGAUCGAUCUGUUCAGUAGACAGUGCUUGGGUUGCCGAGAAUGAUACUCAGGCCUGAAACUCUCCCAGUUGGGAAAGUACAGACAUUCCAGGCUAGUGCCUCCUCCUGCUUUGCUCCCCAUUCGCAUUUCCGACUCGAAGCCCGCAUUCCCUUGUAAAGACAGUAGCCAUAUUGUCAGUCCAGCGUGUUUUAUCAUCCCUCCUUCUGGUUCUUUGCAAGAACUCGCCUCCUCCUCCCCAAUUCCAUGUAAUACUACUGGGCUGUCAAUUGUGGUGUUCUGCGCCUCCCCCAGGGGGUAGCACAUGACCUAGACUAGCCAAUCCAUGCUUCCUAUCUGCCUUAACCACAAGGAUGUGUUCAUUAGUGGACAUUUGGCCCAAGAAAGACCCCCCCAGAGUAUCUCCUAAAAUUGGGUGAGGAGAUACUGGGAAAGAGAAGUAUUCAUUCAAUUAAGGUUGUUGAGCUGAGGAGAUGAGUGUCGGGGGACACUAGUGACCAUACUUGUCCAGUAUGUGAGAAGGGACUGUCUGAAAGUAGAGAACGCCAUCUCUCUGAUGAUGUAGUAAGGCCCCUGUACCCAGCCUGACCUGAGGCCAGACACGACCCACCAUACCCCACCCUAAGACCUCCCGGCUGCAAGAACUAAAAACAUUCCCUUUUUGCUUAAACUGGUCUCAGCUGGAUUCUAAGGAUGGCUCUUCUACCCAUAGGCAAUUACCUCCUACAGCCACCCCCAUUUAUCAAAGUCCCGGCCAUCUUCGGGCUAAAAGACUCUUCUACUCCAGCUUUCUCAUAUCCACUCCUGAAGCGAUUUUAUUCCCUCUUCUGCAGUCCCUGGCCCUCAUUGAAAACAUUCUUAUGGUCAAGGUCAUUUGCUAUAAGUCAACAUGGUUUAUUCAUGUGCUUCCCUAGCACAGGGUAUACUGUAUUUGCUCCCCACCUACAAGCCACAGACCACUGGAGAGCCAGAUAAUUAUUGCUGGAGCUUACAAGUCCACAUGUGCACCAAGUUCAAAUGCAUAAUAUUCUGUCAAAUGCAUGGGUUUGAGAAAAUUCAACACCACAAAAAGCUGCCAUAACUAUGACUUAAAUGUAACACUAAUAGAAAGAGGUAACAAAUAUCUAUGACAUUAAAUAGGGUCCUCAAAUGAAACGAAUGUGGCUACAGGGACGUGUGCCUAUGUAAAAAAAAUUUGAAUUUUACCCUUAAGAUUUGCAUACUUGACUCUAUGCAAGUUAUGCCACAAUAAAAAGUAAAAACUAAAAUAAAAAUAAAGGAGUCCUCAUCCUUGACGAGCGUGUCCCUCAUGUCAAUGUACAAACAUUAAUUUGAGAUAGAUCAUAGACCUAAGUAAACUAAAGCAAAAACUAUACAGCUUCUAGAAAAAAAUACAGAAUAUCUUACAACCUUCAGGGAAGCAAUGACUUCUUAGCACACUUAAAGCACCAAAAAUGGGUGAGAAAUUCUAAGGGCUACUUCACAAAAGAACACAAGCAAAUGCUCAAUAAGCACAUGGAAAGUGCUCAAUGUCAUUAGUCAUCAGGGAAAUGCAAAUUAAAAGCGCCUUUUUACACCUGCCAAAAGGGCCAAAAUUCCUCAUACACUGUGGUGGGAAUGGAAAGUGGCACAGCUUUGCGAAACCGUGAGUCUCUUCACAACGCAACACAAACCCACCUGUGAUCCAGUGAUUAUUCUCUUAGGCUAUUUACCGAUGAGAAAUGAAAACAUAGAUCCUGCAAAAUGAUCUGUGCAAGAAUGUCCUUGGCAGCUUAACCCAUAAUAUCCCGCAGCUGGAAACAACCCAGACAUUCCUCUAUAGACAAAUGGAUAAACCAAUGGUGAUGCAUUUGCACAAUGGAAUACUACGAACCCACUGUUGGUACAUGCCACAGCAUGAAUGAGUCACAAAAGUAUGCUGAGUGAAAGAAGCCAGACAUAAAAGAACACAUACGGUAUGAUUCCACUGUAUGAAGUUCAAGAACAGACAAAACUGAUCUGUGGAUAGACACCGUAAGAGUUUACCUCUGGUUGGGGGAGGAGGGAUUGAUUGCAAAACAUGGCAGCAAAUUCUCUGGAGUGAUGGAAAUGUAUCCUAUCUUGACUGAGGUGCUGUUUACAUGGGCUUAUAUAUUUGUCAAAACUCAUUGUAAUUAUAAUCUGUAUAUUUCAUUAUUUGUAAAUUAAAUGCACACAUAUACAGAGACGGUGGGAGGGGAGGGUGGCCUUUGAGAGACUCCUAGGCGUAGAAACAGAAGAACUGACUCCAUUUAAGUCUCAGCUCUCCCGCUAGCUCUGUGACCUCUGCUAGUAUCCUCAUCAAGUCUAGGGGCCCAUCUGAUGGGCCUUGCUUACCUCAAAUGGCUAUUUCAACUAUAAUAACACUAUAACUAUUAUAAUAACUAUAAUAACUGGGGAAAUGCUUGGUAAACGUUUAAUCAUUGUUCAUUUUAAGAGAUUCCUCUCCAACCUAUUUUGUUCAGGUGUCUCCCUGGCCCUGAAACUCCAGCUGCCCUGGCCUCCUUGAACUCACCCCGUGCCUUCCAGCCUCAGGGCCCUUGCACAUGCUCUUUCUUUGCCUACACUGUUCUUGCCCCUGGUCUUCCAUAGCUUCCUUGCAAAACUAACAUUUCGGCUAAAAUGUUUUAGUGUCAGAUUGCCUGUCCCCAGCCCUUACUCUGUUCCUUCAUUGCACUUGUCACAGUUUGUAAUUACCUGUUUAUUUGUUUAUACACUUACUAUGGAUCUUUCCCACAGAAUUGUAAACUCCCAGAGAGGAAACAUGUUUGUUUUAUUUGAAACAGAGAGACAUGUACCUCUUCUCCCACCUACUUUCUCCACAGCCAAACCUGCUUCCUCUCUGCCUUGCUGUCUCCUUUGAAAUCUGCAUUCUUCUCAACAAAUGACGUGCAUCCCCAGUCCUUAGCACAUAGAAAUUAGCCAGUAAAUGCUGCCAAAUAACUAACUGUGCCACCAGGCACGAGCUUUACUGUGUGGACUCUACCUGUUUGUGCUGCCUUGGUACUUUCUGCUUGCAGCCAGGUCUUGCCUGGGGCUUGGUGGGUGCCACAAAAGUGACGCCCGGGUACUGCUAGUUUCAGGUAGUGUGCCCACUCAGGAAGAGCCUCUGUGUCCAGGGAAACUUUAGGGUACCUUGUCCUCAGGAAGGCAGGGACGUCUUGCGUAGCCGCACUGUAUGGCCCCUUAGGGCCUCUGCAUCUCCCUCUAGGUCAAGAAGACUGCAGCACAAAUAGGCCAGCCAUCUAACAUACCAGAGUCUCCUCCGUCUCUAGGGCCCUCCACACCCAUGCCCAGCACGGGCCUGGGAGCAAGCGGAAUGAAUGCCUGUGUCCACAUCCACCUUCUUCUUCGGCACUCUGCAGACCUCUGACCCACCCUGGGGAGCUUUUUGGCCUAAUCCCCUCCCUCUCUCUACCUCUAAUAAUCACACCGCCUUUUGGGGAGGAGGUUCUGGAUCUGCAAGCCGCUUCCCUCACUGAGGCCACUUCUCUCCAUGGAGUCAGCCCCAGGCCAAGCAGUUGCCCCUGAGUCCAGGGCUCCCGGGCGUCACCCAGAGCUAAUCUGCCUGCAGGAACUCUCUGAAACCUUCUGUUUUAAAACUGGAAUGUGCUGGCUGACCUGGAUCAUUUUGGCUUCCGUGACGUCAGCGCUUUGAGGAAAUGCUCUUUGGUGGCAGCAAAGUCCACUUGAGGGUAUGAACUUAGGGAAUGCUCCAGUGAAAAUGUAGGGGCUUUGAGAUAGGGGAGACAGGCACCCCUUCCCCCUCGUACUUCCUCCAUAGCCAAACUUCUGCUUUCUCUCUGCCUUGCUGUCUCCCUUGAAAUCUGUAUUCUUUUCAACAGAUAAUGUCAAUAAGCCCUUUAUGUGAGUGGGAUUUGGGUCUACUCUGUUUCUCAUCUGAGAAUCUGCCCUGUGCCAAUGAGUUCGGGCCUCUGGCCCACGUUAAUUAUUGUACCAGGGUUCAGGGAGUCGAAUGGGGACAGAACGCCUCUUUGGCUAGGAGAGUGGUAUUCUGGUAGGGCUUUUUGUUUUUUGUUUUUUGUUUUAGCAUUAAUCUAGCUUAGAGAGGCUGAGAGAGUGAAAAUGCUUAUAUGCUUCAUUGAUGUUUGCUCCUUCUUUUCUGAGCUCUUAACUAGGGCUUGAAAAUCAAAAUGUUCAUGACUCUCUUGGGAUUUUGUGAACUUAUAUUGGCAAUAAUUUUUUUUUUUUGCUGACAUUCAUUCCAGGAAAUAGAAACAAUAUUUUAGGAUGCAGAAUGAUGGGAAGUCUAGUGGGGGGGAGGGGUGUGUGUAAGUGUAGGAAAGAAAGCUCCCUGACCUAGGUGUCAGAAGGCGUGGGUUGGAGUCUGGACGCUUCUCUUCCCUUCCCUAAGCCUCAGUUUUCUCAUCUGUAAAACAGGGAGAAUGUCCUCUUGUCCCACUCCUAUGUUUAAUGAUAAUCAAAUGAGGCAAUGAAUGAAAAAGCCUUUGAGUUAGCCUCUGUUUUGCUAAUUAUUAAGUCGAUGUCUUCUUCACUUGGUUAUUCUUUGAGAGAGAAGCCAGCAUAUAUUUGAAUUGGUUUUUUAUUGCUUUUGGUUGCUGGCUAUGUUUCUUCAUUAAAAGUUAAUAUAGCUCCAGGCAAAAAAUUGAGCACAAGGCAAAUCCAGCUUUAUCUGGGUUAUAGGUCAGUGGGGCGAGGUAAAAAGGGUCAGUUCAUUGUGAAUCGAGUAUCCUUACAUGCAGCCGUCCUCAUUUCAAGCAUUUCACCCCAUUGUUAGGUCAUGUGUUCACCCGUGUACUUCAGUAUCUCACCCAGAAAGUGUUGUCUCUAUAAUUAAGUGGUGAUGAAAGACAGGUAGGGCAGUGAGCACAGGAUAGAGGCUCUUCUCCUCCCUUUGAGUCUGGAAGGACAGUGAGCAGCCCAGACAAAAAGAAAGAGCCCUUUCAUCAUGCCCAUCAGAGCAGGUGACUCGUUCUGGCCGACAGGCCCAGAAUUUCACCCCUCAGCUCCUUUUACAAUUCCCAGGUGAAUGGUGCCCAUCACCAGGACCCGCCAGGUCUAGUUUGGGGAGAAGAGCCUGCGCACAGCUCGGUGGGCCUCGCUCCUUACUGCUCCCCUCAUUCAAUGCCCUGACACUUCAGCUGCCCCUUAGACAGUUUCUACCAGUGACUAACGUGGCAGAGGCAGUGGGACAGGAGCCGCCAGGACUUCUUCCUGCCAAAGCCAUCUGCCUCAGCGUGCAUUUUCCAGGUGCAACACAUGUGUACGUUUUGAAGUGGGAAUCUCCCAGUGUUGAGAGGGAGCAGGACCUGUCCGAGGGAGAAGAAAGGAAGCCAGUAUGGCUGUCAUCUUGCUGGAGGGGAGGUGGGUCCGAGAUAAGAUGGGAGAGGCUGGCAGAAAGAGGCCUUGCAGGGCCUCACAGACCUUGACAAGGAGUCUGCUUUGCCCCAAGACCAAAGGGAAGGCACUGAAUAUUGUUAAAUGCUGCUGGAGGAGUGGGAGCAGGAUUAAGCAGCAUCGCAUUUGCAUCAUCAGAUCUGCCUUUGAAAGCAUCACUCAGGCUCCUAUGUGGAGAAUGGGUGGGGAAAGAGGCCAGUUAGGACCUGUUGGGAUCCUCCAGGCAUAACAUGAUAGGGCUGAGGCCAGGGAUAGAUGGUACAGCACGUCUUCCGCUCCAGAGGUAUGCCACGGUCUUGAUCCUCUGAUAGCCUUUAUACCCUUUGUACUAUUUGAAAUAAUAAUCUGGCAUCUGUAUCAUUUUGCUAGGACUACCAUAACAAAAUCCCACUCAAGGGUGGCUUAAACAACAACAGUUUACUUUAUGAUUGUUCUUGAGGCUGGAAGCCUGAGGACAAGAUGUCAGCAGGGCUGGAUCUUUCUGAGGCCUCUCUCCUUGGCUUGUAGAAUAGAUGGCCAUCUAUCUUCUCCCUGUGUCUUCACAGGGUCUUCCCUCUGUGUACAUCAUCUCCUCCUCU